UCAGAUGUGAAGCAGCUUCUUGAUCUUGUGGAGAGUCCAGACUGUAGACUGGAGACUCUGAGGUGGAAGUUUAUGUAAACAGGACGGUAUGUGAGCUGAGAGAGGAUGAGCUGAGUCCUGAUGAUCCAGAGGUUGAAUCAGCAGCAGCUUGUGUGUAGAGAGACUCUGACUGGACCAUGUUACUGGGAGGUGGAGUCAAGAGGAGAGCUUCAUCCACAUGUUUCUCAUUUAACAUCAUCAACAGAGCUGCAAUCAAUCUAUUCUAACAGAACCAACAAAUAAAGUCCAGUUCCUCUUGAAUUUUCACCCUCUAGAUGGAGCCAAAUCUCCACUAAUGACCUUCAUGGAGUCAGGGCCCGAAUAUAUAUUAUUAUUAUUGUUAUUAAAUAACAGUAUACGUGUGUUUUAACAUUUAGCACUUCAGCUAAAAUAGUUCUUCUACAUGGGAAGCGUUUUUCUUUGUGUGUUUCUUUUACUUUGUGUCAGGAAACAUUGAAAAUACCACAUAAAAUAUAAAGUAAAAGUGGGAAACGUUCUAAUAUUAAAGAGUAAUUAUAGAAGUCAGAGUACAGGAAGUCUGACAUUUUUCUGAGAAAUGUUUUUUGCAAUUUGUAUGUUUUCAAUAAAACAAAUAAAAUAAAAAUUGUACAGAGUACAGUGAUGUUGUGGAAGCACAAUUUUAUUUCAUGACAUCUUUUAAUUGUAAAUAUAAAAGCAGCCAUAUGCUAUAAAAUGAGUAAUGCUGAUGCUGUGUUGGUUAAAGUAAAUGAUGGGAAAUUUGACAAAUUGUGAGUGUAUUAGUAAAACGUUGAAAUACUUUAGUAGAAAAAUAACUUGAAUAAAUGUAUUAAUUAAAUCAGGUUGAUGCAUUUUAAUGUUCAUUUACAUGUUUGUAGGAAAUAGAGGAUUUAUUGUGUUGUUUAGUGAUUUAGAGGUAAAUAAAAUAAAACAGUACGUAUGUGUCACAAACUUACGUAAUGACGCACUGUACGCGUUACGCAGGGGGCGUGGCCAGCGGCUGUUGUUACUGCGGCUUCAUCCAAAGAGAAAAGAGACACUGAGCGAAACAGGGCGACACUCUCCUCACAAUAGUUGUGUUUUUGGUCAGUAAGCGGAUAUUUUGUGACAGCACGCAGCCGAGCCGAGUUUCUCUGUGCAGCAUCAAGGUCAGCUGGACAUGGAUUUCAAAGAGCUGAUGAUGCUGUUUAGGAGGAUGUUUGAAAAUGAGGCCUUCGCUCUGACUGUGUGAGCAAGAUCCAAUGUAAACUUGUACUUCAUCAGCUGGUCUGAGUUGGAGUGGUUGGAGAGUACACAGGUGCAAGCAGAUGAUGACAAACUUUAUCUAGACAACCUGUAAUCACCCAUAACUUCUGAUGAAUCACGUUUCAGGAUUCACUUUAAAUAUUGUUCAACAAAAGCGUGCGCUUCCCUCUGAGCCAAUAAGAUGUUGAGGGAGUUGAACCUUAAUACGUCAAAUGCUUGUUUUUGUGUUAAACAAUGAAGCUCAUCCUCAAAAGAGGAAUGUGUACUUUUUCAGUCUGUUUUUAGCUCCCCGUACUCCGAGGAAAAACCUCUGCUCUGUCCGUUUCCACACAAAUCUCCGUUUGUCACCCUUUCUGUCGCACUGAUCCAAACAUCAGUCCGGACCAGAUAGUUUCAAGUUCUGCUGCAGAACACCAACACUUUUCCAGCCAUUUUUCAGCCGGGGAAAAUGAAAAAGACGUUUCC